CCUACGGGAGGCAGCAGUGGGGAAUAUUGGACAAUGGGGGCAACCCUGAUCCAGCCAUGCCGCGUGUGUGAAGAAGGCCCUCGGGUUGUAAAGCACUUUCAGUGAGGAAGAACGCCUGGUGGUUAAUACCCAUCAGGAAAGACAUCACUCACAGAAGAAGCACCGGCUAACUCCGUGCCAGCAGCCGCGGUAAUACGGAGGGUGCGAGCGUUAAUCGGAAUUACUGGGCGUAAAGCGCGCGUAGGUGGCUUGAUAAGCCGGUUGUGAAAGCCCCGGGCUCAACCUGGGAACGGCAUCCGGAACUGUCAAGCUAGAGUGUAGGAGAGGAAGGUAGAAUUCCCGGUGUAGCGGUGAAAUGCGUAGAGAUCGGGAGGAAUACCAGUGGCGAAGGCGGCCUUCUGGACUGACACUGACACUGAGGUGCGAAAGCGUGGGUAGCAAACAGGAUUAGAUACCCCUGUAGUC
rnacentral:rRNA from 1 species